AUGAGGGAGAACAAGACACGCAGAACCUUGAAAAAGUUGGCCACUUGCACCAUCUGUGGAAUGGAAGACGAGACUGAAUUUCAUACUGUCAUUGCUUGCACCAAAGCCAAAGCUUUAAGGUCCGAAAUUCGGAAAAUUUGGCAGCUUCCAGCAGAGAGAAUGUUCGGAUACACGGGUGAUGAUUGGCUUUUGUGUCUAUUGGACACAUGCGACGAGGUCACGCGGGCUAGAAUCCUAUUGCUUAUUUGGAGAGCGUGGCAUUUACGUAAUGACUGUGUACAUGAGGGAGGGAAAGCUUCGGUCUCUGUCUCGGUCGAUUACCUGAAGAAAUACGAAUAG
rnacentral:rRNA from 1 species